rnacentral:rRNA from 1 species
UGCCUAACACAUGCAAGUCGGAUGUGCCGCAAGGUGCGUGGCAGACGGGUGAGUAACGCGUGGGGAAUCUACCUUUUAGUGGGGAAUAACGCUCCGAAAGGAGUGGUAAUACCGCAUGAGACCGAUGGCUGGGAUGUUGUCGGUGAAACCUGGGGACCGCAAGGCCUGGGGCUAGAAGAGGAUCCUGCGUCUGAUUAGCUAGUUGGCGGGGUAAUGGCCCACCAAAGCGACGAUCAGUAGCCGGCCUGAGAGGGUGAUCGGCCACAUUGGAACUGAGACACGGUCCAAACUCCUACGGGAGGCAGCAGUGGGGAAUUUUGCGCAAUGGACGAGAGUCUGACGCAGCAACGCCGCGUGGGUGAUGAAGGUCUUCGGACUGUAAAACCC